GAGUGGUGGCGGUCACACAGUGGUGGCGCUGCUGGCGCCCUGGAGUUUGGCGUGAGAAGAUGAGAUCGCCACCGCGUUCCUCGGCGCAGCUGCUGCAACCAAUGCCCGCCGGCCGCUGCUCGCUCUGAGCAAAAAGACAGCACCAAACUUCCAGCUGAUAGAUCCCACGGAUGGAUUUAGACAGCUCCCAUUUUACAGAGACAGGGAGGAGAAAGAGACUGGUCAUGAAUGCAUCUGCUCAUGCAUCUUGGAUUAGACUUCAAGUGACUUUAUCAUUGCCAGUGAUUACCCACAGGAACUGGUGCUGAUUUACUUUGUAAUCGUGUUUGUAUUUCAAUAAUCAAACAAAUAGAUUUAUAAUGGUAAGGAAACUGAAGGGGCAUGUGGAAAAUAGCACUGCUGUAAUUCAGGCAGACAUAAUUAAAUUAUAUAUGAAAAAGAUAUUUGUGUACAAUUAGAGUUAUUGAUUGUAAAGUAGGAUCAAAUAAGCAUAAUAGUUUCAACUGCAAAAAUUAACAAGGCUUGGCUUAGAUAUCAAUGCAGUUACACUUAAAAAUUCAUAAUAUCUUCUCAGAAGGUGGGGUGGCCAAAUACCCUUGGGAAUCUACGGUGCCUGCCCCAUCUGAACCGAUAGAUGCCUCUCUCCUCUUAUAAAGGCUUUUGGCGUGAAACCUCCCCAGCUCAUGUCUAUCAUGCCAUCUAAUAGAAGGUGCUGCUAGCAGUGUGUCACAGGAA
rnacentral:lncRNA from 1 species